rnacentral:rRNA from 1 species
UACAGAGGUCUCAAGCGUUGUUCGGAUUCAUUGGGCGUAAAGGGUGCGUAGGCGGGUUUUUAAGUCAGGGGUGAAAUCCUGGAGCUCAACUCCAAAACUGCCUUUGAUACUGAAGAUCUCGAGUCCGGGAGAGGUGAGUGGAACUGCGAGUGUAGAGGUGAAAUUCGUAGAUAUUCGCAAGAACACCAGUGGCGAAGGCGGCUCACUGGCCCGGUACUGACGCUGAGGCACGAAAGCGUGGGGAGCAAACAGG